GUCCCCUUUGGCUUUCCUCCUGAAGCACAGAAGCAUUUGAACAGAGCACACCAGGUACAAAGACUUCAACACAAAGAGCGUAACAAGAUCUAGCAGAGGUACAGAAGCAACAGUACAUCAGUGGAGUACAAGUGCAGAGCUUCCUCUACAGAAAGUUGGUUUAAUGGUUACUGAAAAUAAAAAACAGUUGAUUGACAUAAUCUGUACAGAACUCAUUUAGGAUAAGAAGUUUCACCAACGACACACAUUAAAGCUAGUCAUCACAGGCAGAGGCAACAUCCCAACUGAAAAAAACCAGUGAGGUG
rnacentral:lncRNA from 1 species